CAUCAGAGAUUCGGCAUCAAUGGCGCUUGAAGAUGACGUCAUCACACUAAUAAAUACAGCCCUGUUUCUUCGUCACAUCCUCUUUCCGUUGCUCUUCUCGCUUUGAGACUCCUCUCCACACGAUGAGAGCUAAGUGGAGGAAGAAGCGCAUGCGCAGGCUGAAGCGAAAAAGGAGAAAGAUGAGGCAAAGGUCAAAGUAAGCCUCAUCCUGCCAGCUGUGGCCGUCGGACUGCUUUGACUGCGGCGACCAAAGUGGAUGCACAGUGCUGCCAACUUUUGACCACCCUGGUGGCUCCCCGACGACCACAAGUCCAUCCACCCGGCUGUGAAAGUCUGCAGGAUGACUCCGCCCGACCUGGGACCGUCUUGGCUGCAGCUGUUUGGUUCAUGGACCAUGAAACAUGUUUCCUUGCAACUGUCGUGUGUAACAAUAAAUGAACACUGUUUCAAA